rnacentral:rRNA from 1 species
GACGAACGCUGGCGGCGUGCUUAAUACAUGCAAGUCGAACGGAAAGGCCCUGCUCUUGCUGGGUGCUCGAUUGGCGAACGGGGGAGUAACACGUGAGUAACCUGCCCUUGAAAUUGGGGUAACUUCAGGAAAAUGCGGCGAAUACCGGAUAUGAGCUCCUGCUGCAUAGGGGGGGUUGGAAAGAUCCGGCCGUGGGGGAUGGACUCGCGGGUUAUCAGCUGGUUGGGGAGGUAGGUGCUUACAACGGCUUUGACGGGUAGCCGGCAUGGGAGGGUGACCGGCGUCAUUGGUCCUGAGGUACGGACCAGUCGCCUACCGGAGGCAGCAGUCGGGAAUAUUGCACAACGAGCGGAAGCCUGAUGCAGCAACGCUCCGUGCGGGAUGCCGGCCUUCGGGUUGUAAACCGCUUUCGCCUGUGCCGAAGCCUGCGUGACGGUAAUGAGUAAAGAAGCCCCGGCUAACUACGUG